GUGCCAGCAGCCGCGGUAAUACGGAGGAUCCAAGCGUUAUCCGGAUUUAUUGGGUUUAAAGGGUGCGUAGGCGGACUUGUAAGUCAGUGGUGAAAGUUUUGAGCUUAACUGAAAAAUUGCCAUUGAAACUGCGGGUCUUGAGUGCAAAUGAGGUAUGCGGAAUGUGUUGUGUAGCGGUGAAAUGCAUAGAUAUGACACAGAACUCCGAUUGCGAAGGCAGCAUACUGGGAUGCAACUGACGCUGAUGCACGAAAGCGUGGGUAUCAAACAGGAUUAGAUACCCUGGUAGUCCACGCAGUAAACGAUGAAUACUCGCUGUUUGCGAUAUACAGUAAGCGGCCAAGCGAAAGCGUUAAGUAUUCCACCUGGGGAGUACGUUCGCAAGAAUGAAACUCAAAGGAAUUGACGGGGGCCCGCACAAGCGGAGGAACAUGUGGUUUAAUUCGAUGAUACGCGAGGAACCUUACCCGGGCUUGAAAUGUACUCGACGAAGCUAGAGAUAGCUUUUCCAGUAAUGGCGAGUAUGUAGGUGCUGCAUGGUUGUCGUCAGCUCGUGCCGUGAGGUGUCGGCUUAAGUGCCAUAACGAGCGCAACCCCUACCAAUAGUUACUAUCAGGUAAUGCUGAGGACUCUAUUGGGACUGCCACCGUAAGGUGUGAGGAAGGUGGGGAUGACGUCAAAUCAGCACGGCUCUUACGUCCGGGGCGACACACGUGUUACAAUGGAAAGGUACAGAGGGUUGCUACACAGCGAUGUGAUGCUAAUCUCAUAAAUCCUUUCUCAGUUCGGAUCGGAGUCUGCAACUCGACUCCGUGAAGCUGGAUUCGCUAGUAAUCGCGCAUCAGCCAUGGCGCGAGAAUACGUUCCCGGGCCUUGUACACACCGCCCGUC
rnacentral:rRNA from 1 species